rfam:Macrostomum lignano uti_cns_0047810, whole genome shotgun sequence.
GAAUUUGCAUUAAAAUUUUUUAUGGGGAUCAAUACAAAAACAUUAUAACCAACAUUAAACAAGUGCUUAGUGAUUGGCAACACCUUCAAAUUGCGGGAACUCCGUCCGAACGAAGUUCGAGUACCUCAGGUACGUCAACAACAGCCUCAAGUACCACUUCAGUUGAGAAAUCUUCUGAAGGAACACAGGUAAUUCCUGUUCCCAAUCGGACUUCGUCCGCGAUCCUAUGGUUCGAUGGUAACAAGCUUGAAGACAUGGUGGAAAUCCGCAGCCAAGCUCGUAAGUCCGAACGAAGUUGACAAGGAUAUUGAGAAGGUUCAGAGACUUAAUGGGGGUGGGGCUGAAGGAUCUGGUCAAUCCUGAUGAUGCCUUAAGAUAAAGUCCAGCCUCUUUCGAAAGAUUGAG